UCCGGUUUGUUUCCGGCAGUCUCUCUAGAAAUGCAACUAAAGACAAGGGUUGCGCUCGUUGCGGGACUUAACCCAACAUCUCACGACACGAGCUGACGACAGCCAUGCAGCAUCUGUGCAUCUGUCCUUGCGGAGGCACCCCUUUCAGGGUGUUGCAAAUGCAUGUCAAGCCCAGGUAAGGUUCUUCGCGUCGCAUCGAAUUAAACCACACGCUCCGCUGCUUGUGCGGGUCCCCGUCAAUUCCUUUGAGUUUUAGCCUUGCGGCCGUACUCCCCAGGCGGGCCACUUAAUGCGUUAGCUACGGCACGGAAGGGGUCAACACCCCCCACACCUAGUGGCCAUCGUUUACUGCUAGGACUAC
rnacentral:misc_RNA from 1 species